rnacentral:misc_RNA from 1 species
AAAAGGUUAAGAAUACCAUGUUCUUUAAACACCAUCUGUGUAAUUGUACUCGUUGCUUCCGUGGGCAGUGGACGACCAUGUCUCUGCAUCUCUUCCUUCAUGGUGGACCCACGGGAGGUAUUCAUAAACUCUGCCGUUUGGUGAUCUUUGUCUGAUUAUGUUUGAUAAAAUAAAUGUUA